rnacentral:rRNA from 1 species
AUUGAACGCUGGCGGCAGGCCUAACACAUGCAAGUCGAACGGUAACAGGAAGCAGCUUGCUGCUUCGCUGACGAGUGGCGGACGGGUGAGUAAUGUCUGGGAAACUGCCUGAUGGAGGGGGAUAACUACUGGAAACGGUAGCUAAUACCGCAUAACGUCGCAAGACCAAAGAGGGGGACCUUCGGGCCUCUUGCCAUCGGAUGUGCCCAGAUGGGAUUAGCUAGUAGGUGGGGUAACGGCUCACCUAGGCGACGAUCCCUAGCUGGUCCGAGAGGAUGACCAGCCACACUGGAACUGAGUCACGGUCCAGACUCCUACGGGAGGCAGCAGUGGGGAAUAUUGCACAAUGGGCGCAAGCCUGAUGCAGCCAUGCCGCGUGUAUGAAGAAGGCCUUCGGGUUGUAAAGUACUUUCAGCGGGGAGGAAGGCGAUAAGGUUAAUAACCUUGUCGAUUGACGUUACCCGCAGAAGAAGCACCGGCUAACUCCGUGCCAGCAGCCGCGGUAAUAC